rnacentral:rRNA from 1 species
UAAACGACUCUCGGCAACGGAUAUCUCGGCUCUCGCAUCGAUGAAGAACGCAGCGAAAUGCGAUACUUGGUGUGAAUUGCAGGAUCCCGCGAACCAUCGAGUCUUUGAACGCAAGUUGCGCCCGAAGCCUUUUGGCUGAGGGCACGUCUGCCUGGGUGUCACCC